UACGUAGGGACCAAGCGUUGUUCGGAUUUACUGGGCGUAAAGGGCGCGUAGGCGGCGUGGUAAGUCACUUGUGAAAUCUCUGAGCUUAACUCAGAACGGUCAAGUGAUACUGCUGUGCUAAGUAGCGGAAGGGCAAUCGGAAUUCUUGGUGUAGCGGUGGAAUGCGCAGAUAUCAGGAGGAACACCGAUGGCGAAGGCAGGAAUCGUCCUGGGCCGUGAACUGACGCUGAGGAGCGAAAGACGUGGGGAGCGAACAGG
rnacentral:rRNA from 1 species